GCUGGGUGUGAUGGCACAUGCCUGUAAUCCCUGUGGCUCAGGAAGUUGAGGCAGGAGGAUCACAAGUUCAAAGCCAGCCUCAGCAACUUAGCAAGGCUCUAAGCAACUUAGAGAGCCUGUCUCAA
rnacentral:sRNA from 1 species